GGCGGGGUGCUGCUCAGCCCGUUUCUGAUUUAUGUGGUGCUGGCCCUGGUGGUCACCACCGGCCUGCGGAUGCUGGUGCGAGUCACCGGACUGGGGCGCUGGAUCUGGCAUGAAGCCCUGUUCGAUUGCGCCCUG
rnacentral:sRNA from 3 species